UUUGUCGUUUUAUCGAAUCGCAUUUGAGAAACAUUUCCUGAUUUCCUUGUGCAACUUGUAUAAAUAUGGGGGAGAACCAUCCCCGAACCAUUCUCAAUCUUUACUCGACACCGAAUCGUACCGACGUCUAGUCACUACCAAACCGACACUAUGCUGAAGGUAUUGUUUCUCCUGUCCUGCCUCGUGGCUAGUGGGCUCUGCACUCAUUAUUAUGGAAAUUCCUAUGGCUAUGGCUUGGGAUCAAUGUUAGACGAUGGAUUCGGAAGUGGUCUUGGACUUCUUGGUGGUGGAUAUGGAUAUGGAAACGGAUACGGAAAUAACUAUGGUCGUGGGGGAUACGGUCUUGGAGGCUAUGGACGUGGUUACGGAAACAGGUGGAUGAGACGACGAGGCUCCGUAUUUGGUGGAUAUUAAACAAUAGAAUUUCAAGAUUCAUCAUACUCAGCAUAACUUGCCAUUUAAUUUAUUGCCAAAAAUGAUUGUUUUCAUGUAAUAAAAUGUUUUUGUUAAACGGAA